rnacentral:rRNA from 1 species
ACCCCUGGAUUGCACAUGAUACUGCGAGACUAGAGUAAUGGAGGGGGAACCGGAAUUCUCGGUGUAGCAGUGAAAUGCGUAGAUAUCGAGAGGAACACUCGUGGCGAAGGCGGGUUCCUGGACAUUAACUGACGCUGAGGCACGAAGGCCAGGGGAGCGAAAGGGAUUAGAUACCCCUGUAGUCCUGGCAGUAAACGGUGCACGCUUGGUGUGCGGGGAAUCGACCCCCUGCGUGCCGGAGCUAACGCGUUAAGCGUGCCGCCUGGGGAGUACGGUCGCAAGAUUAAAACUCAAAGAAAUUGACGGGGACCCGCACAAGCGGUGGAGUAUGUGGCUUAAUUCGAUGCAACGCGAAGAACCUUACCUGGGCUUGACAUGUAAUGAACAACAUGUGAAAGCAUGCGACUCUUCGGAGGCGUUACACAGGUGCUGCAUGGCCGUCGUCAGCUCGUGUCGUGAGAUGUUUGGUUAAGUCCAGCAACGAGCGCAACCCCUGUUGCCAGUUACCAUCGAGUAAUGUCGGGGACUCUGGCGAGACUGCCCAGAUCAACUGGGAGGAAGGUGGGGACGACGUCAGGUCAGUAUGGCCCUUAUGCCCAGGGCUGCACACGUACUACAAUGCCCAGUACAGAGGGGGCCGAAGCCGCGAGGCGGAGGAAAUCCUGAAAACUGGGCCCAGUUCGGACUGUAGGCUGCAACCCGCCUACACGAAGCCGGAAUCGCUAGUAAUGGCGCAUCAGCCACGGCGCGGUGAAUACGUUCCCGGGCCUUGUACACACCGCCCG